rnacentral:rRNA from 1 species
AUGUCGACCGACGGAAGCGCCCAAUCGCCGCAGUGGUCCGACCUCGCCGACGACCUCCUUGGCAUGGUCCACCUCAGGCUUGCCUCUCCACGCGAUCGUCUGCGCCUUACUGCCGUCUGCAAGGCGUGGCGCACUGCUGUGUCGCGCCUCCCGGCGCCGCCGCCCACCCCCCUGCUGCUCCUGAUGCAGUGUGCCCGAUUACACAAGACGAAGCGCCUGUGCGGCCCCGACGACUGCUGGGUCAUGCGCGUUCCAGACAAGGCGGAAGGCAAGUUGUUCGUUGGAUCACACGGCGGCGGCUGGGUUGCUGCGCUCGACUGGUCGACGCUCCUGAUCGUAAACCUCUUCUCUGGUGCCGAGGUGGUGGUCUCUCCGGUAAGCUCGCCUAAUCCUAUCCAGACAGUCGAAUUCAAGAAAGUCAUCUUCUCUGAAGACCCCGCCUCCAGCAGUUGCAUCCUUGCCGCCAUCAAUCAUCGGCGGUCCUACAUUGCACUGUGCAAAGUUGGUGGCCACGAGAGCGGAUGGACCGUAGAAGAGAUGCAUGACAAGUCUAUUAUAGACAUCUCAUUUUGCAACGGCGAGCUCUAUGGUCUUAUGCAACCUAAUGAGCUCUAUGGUCUUAUGCAUCCUAAUGAGGAGCUGAUCAAGUUUAAAAUCAACAUGAAGGUAGACGGCACCCCGGUCAUCGCAUCUCGCCACCCGCUGGCCGUCGAAAGGCGCCACGGUCGCGAGAGAUGGGCGGGCCAUCUCAUCGAGCUACACGGCAAGCCAUCUAUGGCGAUACAUGACUGGUGGUUGCCCAACCGAAGGUCUUUCUACAAGGUCUUCACACUUGUCGACACCGAUAACGACAUGGCUUACAAGUAUAAGUGGGCGGAAGUACUGAAUUUUGGUGACCACGCCUUGUUCUUCGGGCCGUAUUCGUCUAAGGCUGUGCACGUGACGGUAGACAUGCAUCAUGGUUGGAAGAGAAAUCAUAUCUACUACUCCAUAGAAAAUUUAUGGCCAACAAACAAGUUGCCCGAUGACGCAGUGCACUUUGUUACAAUGGACAACAGCGAGCACAUGUACUGUAGGGAAGAUCCAAGUGUCGGUGAUGGGGUGGAGAGGACGGGAUAUUAUGUGACGGGUUGUAACCAUCGUCCCAUGUGGCUUUGCCCUCCAUUGCUGUAG